CCAGCUUCCCUCACACUCUUCCUUUGGUUUCUCUUCUUGGGGGACGUUGGAUCGCAUGGCUUUGCAGCAGGAGGAGCUGCUCCUGCCACACUGCCCUGAUGCCCUGCCUUGCAUGGUUCAGCAUGCUGAGGAGCAGGGAUGGGAAGGAGCUGCUGGUACUGGCAGCCAGUGGACCAUGACAGGGGUGCAGAGGGUUUCCUCCACCUGGUGAAUGCCUGCCCAAGAACCCACAUUCCACAGCGUUAAGCUCCAGCCAAGAGGAGGCUCACAGGCAAGGAGCGUCCGCCCCUUUACAGCUCCAGCCAAGAGGAGGCUCACAGCUCCAGCCAAGAGGAGGUUCACAGGCGAGGAGCGUCUACCCCUUUACAGCUCCAGCCAAGAGGAGGCUCACAGGUGAGGAGUGUGCACCCCUUUACAGCUCCAGCCAAGAGGAGGCUCACAGGUGAGGAGCGUCCACCCCUUUACAGCUCCAGCCAAGAGGAGGUUCACAGGCGAGGAGUGUCCACCCCUUUACAGCUCCAGUCAAGGGGAGGCUCACAGGCGAGGAGCGUCCACCCCUUUACAGCUCCAGCCAAGGGGUGGCUCACAGGUGAGGAGCGUCCACCCCUUUACAGCUCCAGUCAAGGGGCAGCUCACAGGUGAGGAGCGUCCACCACUUUACAGCUCCAGCCCAGCACAGUCACAGCAAGAGAAGCUACCUCCAGAGCCCCAGCUGGCACUGGGGCUGCUGCUGCCUGGAGCCACAGUCAAGUGUAGCCAGGCACAUCUGGCUGAAGAAAGCCCAGAGGGGGCUGUGGAAUUUUGUCAGGCAAAGUGGCAUCAGGUGGGGUCUCCGAGGGGGCCACCCAAUCACAGGGGCUCUCCAAUCCUGCUGAGAGCACCUGUUAGAAACGCUGGCUCCUGCUAUGGCCCUCAGGCCUGGCCCAGUGCAUGGGAGCUGGGCUGGCAAGCUGCAUGUUAGAUGAGCAUUGCUGUGGCUUUCAAGAGGCUGCUGACUUCCUUGCUCUGAGACCUGAGUCACAUCCCAGGGCUUUCAGUCUCAGGGGUCCCCAGACUCUGGCAAAGCUGGGUGGUCUCAGACCAGAGUGAGUCACCCACGUCUGCCCCCUGAGGCAAAUUUAAAAGUGCUGUGGUUUGAAUGUGUUCGAGUUGGAAACUCAAUCCUUCUACCCACAUGAAUGGAUUCAUCAGGGCUCUGCCCUCAUGACUGGAUUAAUAUUGUUAUCCCGGGAGUGGGCUUGUUAUGGAAGGAGUGGCUUUGUUAUAAGAGCCAGUUCUCUUGUCACCAUGUGAUGCCUUCAGCCAUGACAUGAGGAAGCAGGAGGGCCCACACCAGGUGCCAACGCCAUGGCCUUAGACUUCCCAACCUCCAGAACUGUCAUCCAAAUAAAGUUUUCUUUAUAAAUUACCUUGUCUGAGAAAAUAUCUGCAAACUAUGCAUCCGACAAAGGACUAAUAUCUAGUAUCUACAAGGAACUGAAAUCAGCAAGAAUAAAAGGAAAAAUCCCAUCAAAAGUGGGCCAAUGAUAUGCAUAGACACUUCUCAAUAGAAGAUAUACAAAUGACCAAGAGAUAUAGGAAAGAAGGCUCAACAUCACUAAUCAUCAGGGAAAUGAAAAUGGAAACCACAGAGAUACCACCUUUCCCCCGUCAGAAUGGCCAUUCUUAAAACACCAAAAAACAACAGAUGCUGGCGUGGAUGUGGUGAAAGGAAAUGCUUACACAUUGCUGAUGGGAAUGCAAAUGAAUACAACCUCUAUGGAAAACAGCAUGGAGAUUUCUCAAAGAACUAAAAAGAAGAUUUACCAUUUGAUCCACCAAUCCCUCUACUGGGUAUCUACCUAAUGGAAAAGAUAUCACUGUAUCAAAAAGACACCUGCACAUAUGUGUUUAUCACAGCACAAUCCACAAAGUUGCAAAGACAUGUUACCAACCUAAGUGCUCAUCAACCACUGAGUAAAUAAGGAAAAUGUAGCAUAUAUAUGUAUCAUGAAAUACUACUCAGCCAUAAAAAGAGUGAAAUAAUAUCUUGUGCGGCAACUUGGAUGGAACUAGAGGCCAUUAUUAUAAGUGAAGUAACUCAGGAAUGGAAAACCAAAUAUUGCAUGUCCUCACUUGUAAGUGGGAGCUGAGCUAGAGGGCACAAAGUCAUGUAGAGUGGUAAAAUGGACAGUGAAGACCCAGAAGAGGGGAGUGUGGGAGGGUAGCAAGGGAUUAAAAACUACCUACUGGGUACAACAUCCACUACACAACAAUCUCAGACUUUGCUGCUCUACAAUUCAUCCAUGUCAUCAAAAAACACUUGUAUC